AAUGAGGGUGCGCCUGCGGUGUUCUUCUCGUUGGCGUCCGGGUUGCGGGUCGUCUGCAGGACUACUGGGCCGGUCUGCCGUGCGUCCAAGAGUUUCUAUUUGGAUGUGAAACCACUUUUAUAGACCACCUUAGAGAAGACUGUUGACAUACUAGUUGGAAUGGUUCCAGUAGCCGACCUUGCAAAACGCUUCAGAUUGGAAGAACUUCCUUUGUAAAACUUCUCUGGCUUCCUAAUGGUGCUUUACCUGCAACCUUCUACUAUUCUAAUCCUCCUCCAUUUCUAAUGAAAAAUCAAACAAACAACCUCCUCUUGACCGUGAAGGUAGUGUUUGAUAUCUGUGGUUUGUACUGCCUGAUUCUAGUCUAUUUCUGCCUGCCUGCUGGAUCUUUCUACUAUGACAUACUGUGUCUACCUCAAAUUCAAUACCUAUAAAAACAGUAGUCUUACUCUUUAUGCCUGCCCUUCACACUUGUGCUUCCUGCCCUAAUUUGUGCUUCCUCUGGUGGCACUAGUCAGAUAAACCUCAGCAUCUUUUGCCAAUUCAGCUUAUAUAUUGCCAUCUUUAGCAAACUCUGAAGGUCUUAAAGUAAGCAGAAGUGCUUAUAUGAAAAUGUUAGGUCAAGGUGUAGCUUAUGAGAUAGGAAGAAAGGAGCUACAUUUUCUUUUAUCCUUUUUUAGUUUUUUGGAGGCAA